AAAAAGAUAAGCUAAAUAAAGCUUUUAGGCCCAUGCCCUAACGAUAGGAUAAAAUCCUUCUUUUUA
rnacentral:tRNA from 1 species